UACGUAGGGUGCAAGCGUUAAUCGGAAUUACUGGGCGUAAAGCGUCCGCAGGCGGUUCUAUAAGACAGAUGUGAAAUCCCCGGGCUCAACCUGGGAACUGCAUUUGUGACUGUAGAGCUAGAGUACGGCAGAGGGGGAUGGAAUUCCGCGUGUAGCAGUGAAAUGCGUAGAUAUGCGGAGGAACACCGAUGGCGAAGGCAAUCCCCUGGGCCUGUACUGACGCUCAUGGACGAAAGCGUGGGGAGCAAACAGG
rnacentral:rRNA from 1 species